rnacentral:rRNA from 1 species
CGUAGGGGGCAAGCGUUGUCCGGAUUUACUGGGCGUAAAGAGCGCGUAGGCGGAUGCUUAAGUGUGGCCUGAAAGCCCCCGGCUCAACCGGGGAUCCGGGUUGCAAACUGGGCAUCUUGAGGGGGAUAGAGGAAGGUGGAAUUCCUGGUGUAGCGGUGAAAUGCGUAGAGAUCAGGAGGAACACCCGUGGCGAAGGCGGCCUUCUGGGUCCGCCCUGACGCUGAGGCGCGAAAGCGUGGGGAGCGAACGGGAUUAGAUACCCCGGUAGUCCACGCCGUAAACGAUGAUCACUAGGUGUGUGCGGUAUCGACCCCGCACGUGCCGCAGCUAACGCAAUAAGUGAUCCGCCUGGGGAGUACGGCCGCAAGGUUG